GACGAACGCUGGCGGCGUGCUUAACACAUGCAAGUCGAACGGAAAGGCCCUGCUUUUGUGGGGUGCUCGAGUGGCGAACGGGUGAGUAACACGUGAGUAACCUGCCCUUGACUUUGGGAUAACUUCAGGAAACUGGGGCUAAUACCGGAUAGGAGCUCCUGCUGCAUGGGGGGGGUUGGAAAGUUUCGGCGGUUGGGGAUGGACUCGCGGCUUAUCAGCUUGUUGGUGGGGUAGUGGCGUACCAAGGUUUUGACGGGUAGCCGGCCUGAGAGGGUGACCGGCCACAUUGGGACUGAGAUACGGCCCAGACUCCUACGGGAGGCAGCAGUGGGGAAUAUUGCACAAUGGGCGGAAGCCUGAUGCAGCAACGCCGAGUGCGGGAUGACGGCCUUCGGGUUGUAAACCGCUUUCGCCUGUGACGAAGCGUGAGUGACGGUAAUGGGUAAAGAAGCACCGGCUAACUACGUG
rnacentral:rRNA from 1 species